rnacentral:tRNA from 1 species
GUGUCCGAAACCAAAGCGAUCGCGGUGCUGGUCUGUGAAUCCAGGAUUAGCGGGUUAGAGUCCCGCCGGACACCCCA